rnacentral:rRNA from 1 species
UGUGACCUCAAAUCAGGUAGGACUACCCGCUGAACUUAAGCAUAUCAAUAAGCGGAGGAAAAGAAACUAACAAGGAUUCCCCUAGUAACUGCGAGUGAAGCGGGAAAAGCUCAAAUUUAAAAUCUGGCGGUCUUCUGGCUGUCCGAGUUGUAAUCUAGAGAAGUGUUAUCCGCGCUGGACCGUGUACAAGUCUCCUGGAAUGGAGCAUCAUAGAGGGUGAGAAUCCCGUCUUUGACAUGGACUGCCAGGGCUUUGUGAUGCGCUCUCAAAGAGUCGAGUUGUUUGGGAAUGCAGCUCAAAAUGGGUGGUAAAUUCCAUCUAAAGCUAAAUAUUGGCGAGAGACCGAUAGCGAACAAGUACCGUGAGGGAAAGAUGAAAAGAACUUUGGAAAGAGAGUUAAACAGUACGUGAAAUUGCUGAAAGGGAAACGCUUGAAGUCAGUCACGUCGUCCAGGGAUCAACCUUGCUUUUGCUUGGUGCACUUUCUGGUUUGACGGGUCAGCAUCAAUUUUGACUAUUGGAAAAAGGCUCUAGGGAAUGUGGCAUCUU